UUCAGGCAGACAUCCACCUGCAAACACUUGGCAAUUCAAAAGCUACUGACAAAAUAAGUUGCAGAGAGAUUCGGGUGACUUGUAUAAUUUAAAUUUGAUCCUACAUAAUUCUCUUUCUUUUUCUCUUCCACAGAUUAUGUUUUUCAUGUGGUUCUUGACUGUGCUUCUUGCUGAGAAUGCGCUGUACCCUCAGUCCUUUUUGACCAGACUUCAGCUGUUUGUCUUCUUUGGCCUUUAUCCAGCUUAUGCAAUUCUGUGAUUAUGCGGCACAAUGAAUAUGCAAGUGAACCAUACCUCUGCACUGCAUGCCACACAUCUUUCAGUCUACUUCAUCAGGCAACCAGGCUAAGGGCUUCAGAGGAACUGUCUUCGUUUCCAAGUAAUAUUUCUCUCAGAAGAAUGAAUACUACACACCCUACCAAAUAUCUGGAUCAACAGCUGCGUGGCACUGAAGAGCUAUUGUUCAUGUAGAAGCAAUCCUUUGAGAAGUGACCAAAAUUGGUAUCUUUCCUCAUCUUAAAAUGUUGCAGGCAUUUUUCUUUUUCAUGUGCUUGCUCUGGCCCUUCUCCACACAGUCUAAAUAUAAAAUAACCAUGAUUAACCAAUCCCUAAUAGCUGAGUGUGCAGCUGGCCCUUAAUGCCCUCUGUGCUAGAGUUUCCCUAAUCUCCAUAGGCAAUUUCUUUCAGGGCUCAA